rnacentral:rRNA from 1 species
AACGAACGCUGGCGGCAGGCUUAACACAUGCAAGUCGAGCGCCACGCAAGGGGAGCGGCGGUCGGGUGAGUAACGCGUGGGAACGUACCCUUAUAUUCGGGAUAGCUCCGGGAAACUGGGAUUAAUACCGAAUGUGCCCUCUGGGGGAAAGAUUUACCGCGUAAGGAUCGGCCCGCGUUGGAUUAGCUCGUUGGUGGGGUAAAUGCCUACCAAGGCGACUAUCCAUAGCGGGGCUGAGAGGAUGAUCAGCCACAUUGGGAGUGAGACACGGCCCAAACUCCUACGGGAGGGGGGAGGGGGGAAUAUUGCAAUAUGGGCGGAAGCCUGAUCGCGCCAUGGCGCGUAAGUGAUGAAGGCGUGAGGGAUGAAAAGCUCUUUCACCGGAGGAGGUAAUGACGGUAUCCGGAGAAGAAGCACCGGCUAACUUCGUG